CGUUACACAAAUUCUUACGGGUUCAACGCUUCGGUAACGUGGCCGCAUGACCACGCCCCUUCCCGCACGCCCUCCAAAUUUUCCAGCGCUGCGCCCCAACCUCCAGGCACAGAGGUGGGGUCAGGACGACUGCCCGUUCUACCGCCCGGCCUUCCCGCGGAGGUUGCUGUCACGGGACUCCCAGCCUCAGUUUCCCAUUCUGUAAAUCGGACCCAGUGGAAAGGAUGAACCCUUGCAACUGUCAUCUCUGUUGUUCCGUGCUCCCCGCUCCGCAUCCACGCUCCUUCUCAGCGUCUUCCUUGCAACCCGCCCCAACUCCGUGAUCUGAGAGGACAUCGCGCCGGGAGUACCCCACAGCCAGCGAGCACCACUCCCAGAUCCAGGCCCUGGCUGCUGCUUCCCUAACAAGGGAAGACGCUGCCUCCUGUCCCAGUGAAAUAACUGCUCCACCAACGCCUGCGGAACAAGAGCCGUGGGACCCAGAGUGCCAGUAGCCCCGCCCACAGGGGUUUGAGGGGCACUUGCUGACCUACAGAAUUUCUGGUCCCUCAGCACCUUGAGUGCUCUUUGUCCAGCAAGGGCGGUGCCCAUUCAGCUUGUGCCAGGAGGGGACAAUGACCCCGCGGCCGCCAGGGCAGGUGGCCCUGGAUGCAGCUGGUGCUUCAGCCAAUCAGCCUGGGGAGCUGAAUCAAGCAGGGAGUGGCAUCAGUGAAGAACCUGGAAGCCCCCCAUUCACUGCUCAGGCCGGCGGUUCAGAGCCGGCUUAUACCCUUAUUUUCUCGUUUUUGUUGUUUUUAGUUUUUAUUAAAUAAAAAGGAACAGAGGCAGAGGGCGCCUGUGGCUGCCCUCACUCUGUUCAAGGUGCACUGUGUGGGGGCUGGAAGUGUAAGCUGGGCAGGGAGAGCAGCGGGAGAGGUCAGAGGUCAGGACUUGGGCCCCAUCACCCUGCCUGGAAGACUCAGUGGGCGGGAAGGUGACUUCUGGACCCCAGCUGGAAGGCCAUAAGACCAACAGGCCUGGCCGCCCCCCUCUCCCCCAAGAACGAUGACAGCGUCCAUCCAUCCGUUGAAGGGUGUCGGGCAAGGCUGGGGACCGGGGUAGCCGGUCCCUUAUUCAUGGACAUCCCAGAUCUCAGAGAGCAGGGGUGGCAACUUCUUAUCCUGGAGCCGCAGGGCGAAGACCUGCUCGGAGUGCACAGAGCUCAGAGUGCGCAGGCUCACAAGCUUCAUCAGCAUGCGCGGGAAACGGAGCUGGUCCUGAGGACAGAAGGGAGGUGCUGCUGGCUCCCUGUCCCCGCCCUGCCAGGAGCCCCCCAAGGCCCAGCCUGGGAAGAGCAGAGGCUGGGAGGCCAUAGGCCUGAGGGCCGGCCCACCUGCGGCCUCUUGAUGCGUGUGUAGGAGAGCAGCGCCUCCACGUAGGGCUGCUGCAGCGCCUCCACUCGGCUAGGCUCCUGCACGUUGGGGCGGUCGGCGGAGAAGAUGUUGAUGGCGAUGAGCAGGGCGUACUCUGCAUCGUCUAGCCCCAGCCGCCGCAUGGCCCGAGAGAACUCAAAGAUGGGGUUGAUGAACUCUACCUGCAGGCCUGCGGCGGGACCAGAAGCCAGAAGUCAGCUCCCUCUGCCCACGCUGCUAUCUGUGCACCCCUGUUAGUGGGUGAGUACAGCAGCCAUGGCAGGUUCCUAUCACUUCUGAUGUUCUGUGACCCUGAGCCUGGCGUGGGGCAGGUGUCCUAUUGACCCUGGCAGCACACACAUUUACUGAGCACUUCCUGCCAUCCUCAUGCCCUGGGACAGCAGUUUACAAGAGGAAGGCUAGCUCUCGGGGGAUUCUGGGGUGGAGGGAGCAGGUGAUAAGCAUCAGUGAGGACCCACCCUGUCAGAGGGUGACAGGCUUUAGGGACAAUGCAUGGUAGUGAGGCACUGAAGAUUUCGUUCACCUGUCCAACACCUUGAGCAGGGCAUGAACAAGGCAGGGAGGGAGCAAGUUAUGGGCUGCCCGAAUGUCCUGGGUGUGUCUGUUCUCCCCACUUAGGGUUACACAGGCCAUGAGGCUUUCUGCAUUCAAACAGCAGUUCCUGGGCACACCCGAUGAUGUGGGCAUGGUCAUUCCAGGCAAAUGCACAGUAAGUCCAGAGGCCUUACUGGAACCAGCUUGAAGGUUUGAAUGCAAGCCAGAAGGCCAGUGGUCAUGGAGGAGGUGGGCACAGAGGGCAGAGGAGGAACAGGGCAGGUUUGAAGAAGGGCUCUGUGGCCCACAGUGAAGACUGUCUCUUCUCCCUUUAAGAUGGGAGCCAUAAAAGGUUGCAGCACAGGAGAGCCAGCCAUGACAAUACCCCUCGGACUGCUGUGGGAACAGGGGCGCUGGAGACGAGUUGGGCAGCAGUGAGGGUGCCCAGCCUCCUCUCCAGCCCCAUCUACUGUUUAGGCUUCCUGUCAUUCUUUAAAACCCUCUAGCUGCUCCCCUCUGCCAAAGCUCCACUGAGUCCUCUACUGUAAGCUCACAAGGAAAGGGCCACUGGGACUGAUUUGGGGACAAGGAGGGGCUGGAAGCUGGAGGACAAAGGCAGGGCCAGGAAGAGCUGAUCAGGGACACCCAGACAUGCCCCAGGGAGAAGCAGCAGCUGCGCUAAGAAAGCCCCAUGGAGCUGCAGGCCAGGCCUCUGAAACUCCCGCCCUUCCCCAGCUCUGACCCGGUGGGCCUUGAGGCCUGAGGUGCGCUUCCUGAUGCACUUGAUACAUGAAGCCUUCUGGCUCUCAUGUUGGCUCCCGAGAGCCCACUCUGGAGGCUCCACUGGGAUGUGGUUGCGGUCCUGAUACCCACUCCGGCCCCACUCAACCCCCACUCUGGUGACCUGCGCGGUGGAAGUCGUCCUUGCUGUAGGUGAAGUCUUUCAGGAAGGUGAUGCAUUCUGUCUCAUGGUUGUAUCGCCGGGCUGUCUCCAGCAGCAUGAUCUGAGGGUGGCAAGGGCCCAGGACCUUUAGCUGCUUCUCUCUCCAUCCUGGCCCCAAAGGGCCAGUGGCCUGCCACAGCAGUAUGCAGUGCUACACCUGAGCUCUCUGCCCCCACCCCUCAGACUCUUUCCCGGGCAGUUCCAGGCAUGGUACAGGGAGUUUUGCCUAUUCAUUGCCAUAGGCCAGUCGAGCUUUGCAUGCAGACAGUGCUCAAUAUUUAACUCACUGGCUCAAAUGGCACCCCAAGAGUGUUGGGCGUAUUUCCAGUAAAGUAGGCCCCUCCAGCCAAUCCUCCAUUAUUCUCAGCCUCAGCCCCUUUUCCCUUGGCCCCUGGGAAGCCCUGAACACCCUGUUUAAGAGUCUGCAGGCUCCUGUGUUCGUGCCCUUUACUCUGCUGCCACUAUCUGUCUCACUGUAACCUCGGGGGUCCCUGUAGGGAGAGGGGAGGGUAGCCUGGCAGUGACCUCGAUGGUGGAUGCCUUCAGGAGGGCGAUCUGGUCCUCACGGCCCAGCUGCAGGAAGCCAGGCACCUGCUUGGCAAAGUCCACAAUCUCUUGGACCGAGAUGAUGGCCAGCUCCGUGAAGUGGGCGAAGCGCUGCUGACGGGCAUCGCGGGACUGGGGGUCUGCACCCAGGGGCCAGGGCUGGGAUGCAGGAGGCUAGGGUCACUCCCGGCAAUGCUCUAGGGAGCCUUCUGCCCCCUGCAGCCCAAAGCCAUCCCCCAACCCGUGUCACAUGAGGGCAGAGAGGGGCAUAGUACCGUGACUUUGGGCUGGUCAGAGAAGGAGCGCUUGUUGCACUGUAGCUGGGCCGCCACCAACUGCUGGAUCAUUAGUUCCUGAGCUGCUGUUAACUGGAUACCCUCACCUUCCCCAGGACCCUGGCUGCCAGCCUCAGACCCUCCCGGGGAAGUCCCAGGGCCAGAGGUUGAGCUGCUGCUGCUCCCUGGCUCCACGGGCAAAGGCUGCUGUGGCGGUGGCUGCUGCUGUUGCUGCUGCUGCUUCUGAAUCUUCUUCUUCCGGAUCUGCUCUUCUGAGAGCACACCUGCGGGGGAUGCAGGCCUCAGCAGCAGUCCAGCCUGGGCAGGCGCCGGGACAGGUGAGCCCCGCCCUGCACUCACACUGCUCCCUCAUCCCGGCCUCCUUGCACUUCCGCAGCCGGCACUGCUGGCACUUGCGUCGCAUGAAGGCAUCCAUCUGGCAGGUUCCACCACCCCGGCAGACAUAGCGCCCGGCUCCACCAUGGACCACACUGCGCCGGAAGAAGCCUUUGCAGCCUUCACAACUCAGCACGUUGUAAUGGAAGCCAGAGGCCUUGUCCCCGCACACACGGCACAGCUCAUGGCCCAGCAUCUUUGGAGCUGGGCCCUUCUUUCGCUUGCGCUCAGGCUCGGGCUCCUCAUCUGGUUCUAGGAUGACUGGGAUGGACAGACGAAGGCCAUAAGAGAGAGCCACAGAGACAGACCGCAGCCAGGGUGCAGGUACUCGAGCCAGCCUAAAGGGAAGAGCCAGAGAGCAGAGGGCGACCAAGCAGAUGCGUGCAGCUAGGGCCCAGCAAGCCAGAAGGAAGGUGAGGAACGCAGUGGGCCACAGAGAAAAAGUCGAAGCAGGAGGCCUCCAGAACAAAUAGGAGGAAAUGAACAGGAAACAGGAGCCCCCAUCUUCUCUGCUCUGUUUCUCAUCUCUCCCCUGCCUAGUCCCCUCCCAGCUCCACACCAGCUCCCUAUCCUGGACCCUGGGCCCCAUCUCACCCACGAUGCAGGCCGAGCUGGCCCCAUCGGAGCCUGGGACAUCAGGGUCCGGACCCUCAGGCCACGGCUCAGGGCCCUCCUUCUUUAUAGUGGGUGAAGAGGAAGAGGUGCUGGGCUGAGGGGGGGCAUUUCCUGAGAAGCAGAGGAAAGACAGGAAGGGACAGUGAGCGUCUGCCAGCGUGUGACCAGGUUGAGUGAGGAAGAGGAUCACUCACCAGGCUGGGGGGUGUCCCCGGAACUCGUGGUGGGGGAAGACAUGGUGGGGUCACGAAGCAGCCUGCGGAAUAUAGGGGACUGAGAGGCUUGUGGUGCUUGGGAGGAGUAGACCGGGCCCUUUUCCUUCCCCGAAAUGUUUUCUACUACUGCGUACUUUUCACUUUCAGCUGGGUGCAGUGACACAAACCCACAAUCCCAGCACUCAGAAACUGAGGCAAGAGAAUGGCAGUGCGUUCCAGGUCAGCCUGCACAGUCACUUCGAGGACAGCCUAGAUUAUGACUAGACUAUGGAUGAAGACCCUGUCUCAAAAAAAAAAAAAAAAAAAAAAAAAACAACAAAAAACACUACUUGCUGCCCUAAUUCUCUUAGCCUCCUUCAAAUCGCUCCUCCUCUUCCAAGCCCUGCCCAUCUGUUCCGGUCCAAAUACCAGCCAUUCCUUCAACCACAGUGUCAAGGCCUCCCUCCAUCCGGUUUCACACCACCACCUACUCUUACUAAGCUGCCACCUCACCUCGGCUAAGAAAGGCCCCCUCGUCUGAUUCUGAUCCCAUCUCCUCGCAUUGUGCUCCGCCCAUCUUUUCCUCCUAGGCGCCGCCCCAUUCCCCCCAGGACCCGCGGCCCACAUCCUUGGAUAGCCUUCCCAACAGUGCGCCCCGCCCCAUCAGCGCCCCCUGCCCAAAGCCCCGCCUACUCCUCGCUUCAGAGCUCGCCCCUCUCCCCCCACCAAGCUCCGCCCCACACCUCGCUCCAGGUCCCGCCCCUCUCCGAGUGCCACUGGGAGGCGGGGCUCAUGGCUGCGCGGGGGGUUCUAAAGAGCUGCCUUGCGCUGGGGUCUGCUGCUCCCGUUGCCCUGGAAACAUCCGGGGGAGGUGCGAGCUGUGGAGUGGAGGGAAUGGAAGAGGAGCGGGAGGCUGAGUGAGGCGGGCGGACAACCCGGGGCAACCCAGGGCCAGGCUCCUCCCGCCUCUACCCACUCUCGAGUACACUUGCCUCCGUCCCUGGCUCUGCUUCUCCUCCGCAGCCCCUGACAGGCCAACGCUACCGGGUCCCCUCAAAAGUAACUUCUGGGAGGCUGGGUUUGUAGCUUGCCUAGCAUGCGUGAAGCCCUGGAUUCGGUCCUUAGCACCGCAAAAA